AGCUAAUACCGGAUAAUAUUUUGAACCGCAUGGUUCAAAAGUGAAAGACGGUCUUGCUGUCACUUAUAGAUGGAUCCGCGCUGCAUUAGCUAGUUGGUAAGGUAACGGCUUACCAAGGCAACGAUGCAUAGCCGACCUGAGAGGGUGAUCGGCCACACUGGAACUGAGACACGGUCCAGACUCCUACGGGAGGCAGCAGUAGGGAAUCUUCCGCAAUGGGCGAAAGCCUGACGGAGCAACGCCGCGUGAGUGAUGAAGGUCUUCGGAUCGUAAAACUCUGUUAUUAGGGAAGAACAUAUGUGUAAGUAACUGUGCACAUCUUGACGGUACCUAAUCAGAAAGCCACGGCUAACUACGUGCCAGCAGCCGCGGUAAUACGUAGGUGGCAAGCGUUAUCCGGAAUUAUUGGGCGUAAAGCGCGCGUAGGCGGUUUUUUAAGUCUGAUGUGAAAGCCCACGGCUCAACCGUGGAGGGUCAUUGGAAACUGGAAAACUUGAGUGCAGAAGAGGAAAGUGGAAUUCCAUGUGUAGCGGUGAAAUGCGCAGAGAUAUGGAGGAACACCAGUGGCGAAGGCGACUUUCUGGUCUGUAACUGACGCUGAUGUGCGAAAGCGUGGGGAUCAAACAGGAUUAGAUACCCUGGUAGUCCACGCCGUAAACGAUGAGUGCUAAGUGUUAGGGGGUUUCCGCCCCUUAGUGCUGCAGCUAACGCAUUAAGCACUCCGCCUGGGGAGUACGACCGCAAGGUUGAAACUCAAAGGAAUUGACGGGGACCCGCACAAGCGGUGGAGCAUGUGGUUUAAUUCGAAGCAACGCGAAGAACCUUACCAAAUCUUGACAUCCUUUGACAACUCUAGAGAUAGAGCCUUCCCCUUCGGGGGACAAAGUGACAGGUGGUGCAUGGUUGUCGUCAGCUCGUGUCGUGAGAUGUUGGGUUAAGUCCCGCAACGAGCGCAACCCUUAAGCUUAGUUGCCAUCAUUAAGUUGGGCACUCUAAGUUGACUGCCGGUGACAAACCGGAGGAAGGUGGGGAUGACGUCAAAUCAUCAUGCCCCUUAUGAUUUGGGCUACACACGUGCUACAAUGGACAAUACAAAGGGCAGCGAAACCGCGAGGUCAAGCAAAUCCCAUAAAGUUGUUCUCAGUUCGGAUUGUAGUCUGCAACUCGACUACAUGAAGCUGGAAUCGCUAGUAAUCGUAGAUCAGCAUGCUACGGUGAAUACGUUCCCGGGUCUUGUACACACCGCCCGUCACACCACGAGAGUUUGUAACACCCGAAGCCGGUGGAGUAACCUUUUAGGAGCUAGCCGUCGAAGGUGGGACAAAUGAUUGGGGUGAAGUCGUAACAAGGUAGCCGUAUCGGAAGGUGCGGCUGGAUCACCU
rnacentral:rRNA from 1 species